AUCAUAGCUCAGUUGGUAGAGCAAAGGACUGAAAAUCCUUGUGUCCCCGGUUCGAUUCCUGGUGAU
rnacentral:tRNA from 1 species